GGGGGAGUAGCUCAGAGAUAGGGCACUUGCCCAGCAAACACGAGGCCCUAGGUUUGAUUCCUAGCACCGCCA
rnacentral:tRNA from 1 species